UACGUAGGGGGCGAGCGUUUGUCCGGAAUUAUUGGGCGUAAAGAGCUCGUAGGCGGCUCGGUAAGUCGGGGUGUGAAACCCCCAGGCUCAACCUGGGGACGCCACCCGAUACUGCUGUGGCUAGAGUCCAGUAGGGGAGUGUGGAAUUCCCGGUGUGAGCGGUGAAAUGCGCAGAUAUCGGGAGGACACCAGCGGCGAAGGCGGCACUCUGGGCUGGAACUGACGCUGAGGAGCGAAAGCGUGGGUAGCAACAGG
rnacentral:rRNA from 1 species